rnacentral:rRNA from 1 species
AUGUAAAUUCCUACAACAUAGAAUUAAUUCACUGGAUCCCACUAGAACUCCAAACAUAAGAACGCUCAAGUUAGAGUAUUACUAGGAUGGGUGACCACCCAGGAAGUCCUAGUGUUUUACAUU